rnacentral:rRNA from 1 species
GCAAGUCGAACGGUAACAUGAGAGCUUGACCUUGAUGACGAGUGGCGCACGGGUGCGUAACGCGUAUAGAACCUACCUUAUACAGGGGAAUAGCCUUUAGAAAUGAAGAUUAAUGCCCCAUGGUAUUAUUGAAUCGCAUGAUUUAGUAAUUAAAGAUUUAUCGGUAUAAGAUGGCUAUGCGUCCUAUUAGUUAGUUGGUGAGGUAACGGCUCACCAAGACGAUGAUAGGUAGGGGGCCCGAGAGGGUGGUC